GGAGAAAAAGGCCCCAUGUGAACUGGAGCAGGUGAGUCUGUCCUGUUGACCGAGAGGGCGGGGGUAGCCGGUCGGAGGGGUGCAGGCUGGUCCAGAAAGCAGAGCCCACACCUCGAGUGUCCUGCCGUGUCCCUGUGGACUCGGGGUCCACCAGAGAUGGGGAGGAUGCUCGCCUUGCCGGGAGUUCACAACACCGAGCCCCUGUGAGUCCCCUCUGCCUCUUCUGUGUCCCUGCUGCCCGCCUCUGGUGCCCCCAGCUGAAGGAAGACACCAAGUUCCAGGAAUUCCUGUCAGUUCACCAGAAGCAGACACAGGUGGCCACUUGGGUGCCCUGGACAUUGAGCCCCCAAAAGGGAAUAGCAAGCCGACCAGUGACUACCUGAACUUUGACUCUGAUUCUGGGCAGGAGUGUGAGGAGGAGGCCGCCGAGGAGGAGCUGGGAGGUGAGGCUUGGGCGUUGUACCUUUGCACCUGUGUCUCUCAGCUGCAGCCCUGUGGCCCACCAACACGUGCUGGCAGGCACUGGCUGCCCCUCCCUCAGACACCAGGCCUGGGGCUGUCCACACAUGGCUCGGGAGCUUUCUAGUGGGGGGAUGAGGUCACCUGCAGACAGGUCUGCCAUGACUAGUCCUGGUCACGUGCUUGCCAGUCGGCAGUGUUCACCGAUUGCAUGCUGCAUGCUGGGCUCUGGGGAUGUAGUGCUGAGCCAUAUACAGGAAUCCUGCCCCAUGGCGCUGUCAGCUGUCAUUGUGGUGAGAGGAGAGCAGUAAACAGAUGAGCACCCAGGGACGCGUCAUGAUAUCACAGCCGCUAUGGAGAGGAAGCAGGAGAGCUUGGGAGGGAGCUGCCAGGGAAGGCCUUGCGGGGUGGGUGAGCCUUUGUCCUCUCAGGCUCAGCGUGCUGGGGCAGCUGGUGGCCAGUGACCAGCUGCAGUAUGGGAUGGCAGGUCUGGUUGGGGGUUGGUCAGGCUGGCUGAGGGCAGAGGAUGUGAACGUAGUGUCACCUGUGCACCUGGCAGGGUUUCUGUGCUAAGCUGCAAUCUGGAGGAUUUGUGGGACGAGGUGGG
rnacentral:lncRNA from 1 species